GAUGAACGCUGGCGGCGUGCCUAAUACAUGCAAGUCGAGCGAACGGACGAGAAGGUUGCUUGCCUGAUUUUAGCGGCGGACGGGUGAGUAAAACGUGGAGAACCUACCUAUAAGACUGGGAUAACUUCGUGAAACCGGAGCUAAUACCGGAUAAUAUUUUGAACCGCAUGGUUCAAAAGUGAAAGACGGUCUUGCUGUCACUUAUAGAUGGAUCCGCGCUGCAUUAGCUAGUUGGUAAGGUAACGGCUUACCAAGGCAACGAUGCAUAGCCGACCUGAGAGGGUGAUCGGCCACACUGGAACUGAGACACGGUCCAGACUCCUACGGGAGGCAGCAGUAGGGAAUCUUCCGCAAUGGGCGAAAGCCUGACGGAGCAACGCCGCGUGAGUGAUGAAGGUCUUCGGAUCGUAAAACUCUGUUAUCAGGGAAGAACAUAUGUGUAAUAAUAUGUUCACAUAUUGACGUUACCUAAUCAGAAAGCAACGGCUAACUACGUG
rnacentral:rRNA from 1 species